rnacentral:tRNA from 1 species
ACCUGGGUGGCUCAGUGGAUUAAGCAUCUGACUUCGGCUCAGGUCAUGAUCUUACGGUUCGUGAGUUCAAGUCCCACAUUGGGUG